rnacentral:rRNA from 1 species
AUUGAACGCUGGCGGCAGGCCUAACACAUGCAAGUCGAGCGAGCGGCGGACUGGUGAGUAAUAUAUGGGGAACUGGACGAUAGAGGGGGAUGACUACUGGAAACGGUGGCUAAUGCCGCAUACUGUCGGUUGAACCCACAUGGGCUUAGCUAGUAGGGGGGGUAACGGCUCACCUAGGCGACGAUCCCUAGCUGGUCUGAGAGGAUGAUCAGCCACACUGGGACUGAGACACGGCCCAUACUCCUACGGUAGGCAGCAGUGGUGAAUAUUGCACAAUGGGCGAAAGCCUGAUGCAGCCAUGCCGCGUGUAUGAAGAAGGUCUUCGGGUUGUAAAGUACUUUCAGCAGUGAAGCGUUACCCGAAGAAGAAGCACCGGCUAACUCCGUGCCAGCAGCCGCGGUAAUAC